AUAAGGUUUAGGCAGGUAGUGUGUUAGUCAGUCACCUGCUGUCCUUCACUCACGGGCAUGUUAUCAUGAAAAAAUACCCACGUUCUCAGUUGUUUAGCUUCAUAAAGAAGAGUGCUGCAGUCUUAUUUGCUCUAGAAGUUGGGGCAUUUGGUGGCUUGUACUAUGUUUAUAACCGGAUGAACACGGACAGAGAUUUCCGGUAUUACAACAACAACUACA